UAGGGAAUCUUCGGCAAUGGACGAAAGUCUGACCGAGCAACGCCGCGUGAGUGAAGAAGGUUUUUGGAUCGUAAAACUCUGUUGUUAGAGAAGAACAAGGACGUUAGUAACUGAACGUCCCCUGACGGUAUCUAACUAGAAAGCCACGGCUAACUACGUGCCAGCAGCCGCGGUAAUACGUAGGUGGCAAGCGUUGUCCGGAUUUAUUGGGCGUAAAGUGGGCGCAGGCGGGUUCUUAAGUCUGAUGUGAAAGACCCCGGCUCAACCGGGGAGGGUCAUAGGAAACUGGGAGACUUGAGUGCAGAAGAAGAGAGUGGAAUUCCAUGUGUAGCGGUGAAAUGCGUAGAUAUAUGGAGGAACACCAGUGGCGAAGACGGCUCUCUGGUCUAUAACUGACGCUGAGGCACGACGGCGUGGGGAGCAAACAGG
rnacentral:rRNA from 1 species